rnacentral:rRNA from 1 species
AUAUCACUAAGCGGAGGAAAAGAAAUUAACUAAGAUUGCCUCAGUAACGGCGAGUGAAGCGGCAAGAGCCCAAACUGGAAAUCUUCACACUUCGUGUGACGAAUUGUAAUCUAAAGGUGGUUUGCUCAACGGUUGGUGGCGCAGAAGUUCCCUCGAACGGGACGCCAGAGAGGGUGAAAGCCCCGUAUGUGGUGCCACUGAUUAACGAGCAGGUUACCAAAGAGUCGGGUUGUUUUGUAUUGCAGCCCUAAGCGGGAGAUAAACUUCUUCUAAGGCUAGAUAUAUAUGGGAGACCGAUAGCGCACAAGUA